rnacentral:tRNA from 1 species
CCUGCCUUAACUCAGUGGCUUAGAGUGCGCGGCUGUAGACCGCGAAGUCCCCGGUUCGAGUCCGGGAGGCGGGA